AGAUAUAAAUAGAUAAAGCCUGAUUCUCCUUCUUAUGUGAGUUUUUCUGUUGGUCAAUUUUUGAUUUGAUCUUUUCCCAUUGUUUGUUGGAACAUUCUGUGUGGAUUGGAUAUGAAUGAGUACAUUAAAGCUGAAGACUACAAAGGCCCAUGGUUUGUUUGGCAACUGCAUUUUUUACUUAUUUUCUCAUCAUAGGCUAGUGUUAAAAUUGCGAGUUGGUUUUUGGGAUUUUAUGUAUUGGUAAUUGGUUUGCUUUAAUUUUCUGCAUUUGGAUGAGAUACAUACGGGCUAGGGCUAUGUGUAUUCUUAUUGGUUUGGUCAACGGUGAGACAACAAUAUAUCACCAAAUGUGCCCACGAUUAGUAAACUUCCUCACCAUUCGGGGACAGCAUUUAUGCCAAUGCUAUGAACGACUCAUAGAAUUCCAGUUCUAGCUUUUUAUGCUUAUUUUAUUACUUUUCUGGAAAACUUCAGCCUUCUGUUUUUAUUUAUUUAUUUUGAAUUCUG
rnacentral:misc_RNA from 1 species